GUUCUGCACAUUUUAGGCCUGAAUGCAACUUGAGUGCUAGGAACAUAUGGUAUCAAUUAAGUGACGUAGCUUAGAGGGUCUUGGAAUGCCGGUGUAUCAUAUUACUGUUCCAAUAGGAUUCCGUUACGUAUACCCGAACCAAAUGUAAAGGGGUAUAAAUUGGCAUGACUACAAGGACAAGCUCUCUUUCCACGCUCUCAUCUUCAUCUCACCAAGAUACUAAGCCUACAGUACCUUUUAUCAACAUUUGUUCCAGCAUUGGUAUUGUAUGAAUUGAUAAUUUGUCAUCGAAUAAACCUAAUUAAUAGACUUUGAAGCUGUGGUCUUGAUUGCUGUUUGAUCACUGGAGAAGCUUAGAUAUUCAAGACAAAGAAUAUUCUAACAAAUUGACGAGCCAGCCAGUCUUUAGUCAGUUUUCUACGGCGAGCCUUUACUGCACGUUUGUUUUUUACUUUUCCUCUUCCGACAAAGGGGGGAUAGUGUGCAGUUGUCUGAAGAGAUCAAAGAGAUCCUCUGACUAAAAACAAAAAAACCUAGCAGUGUGAUCAGAAGAAAGUGUAAUUCGACACUACCAGACCAUUACCAGACCACGUGGUGAGAAGGAAGAGCAUUCCAGAACCGUGCAUCGUCCUGAGAGCAGAUUGAGCAAGCAACUGAUCUACGGUUGUAUGUAAGAAUCGAAUGGACAAUGCAAAUCAUUAAAAAGUCCAUCAUGGCAAAGAUACCUGACAUUCAAGAAGAGACAAUCCUUUUUGUUUCUAGCAGUUCUGACGGUGACCAUACUGAUGAUUGACGGUUCUAAGGAAGAUCUACAGAGUUAAGAAGAUCUACAGAUUUGACAACCAAUGUAUAGCCAAUUUAACAAUACUCAAGGGUUCCCAGACAUAAUUAAGAAGAAAAGAGAAAUUGAUGA